rnacentral:rRNA from 1 species
GAUGAACGCUAGCGGGAGGCUUAACACAUGCAAGUCGAGGGGCAGCAUAGGGUAGCAAUACUCUGAUGGCGACCGGCAAACGGGUGAGUAACGCGUAUGCAACCUACCCUGUACAGGGGGAUAACCCGGAGAAAUUCGGACUAAUAUCCCGUAAUAAUAUCCGGAGGCAUCUUUGGAUAUUUAAAGUUCCGACGGUACGGGAUGGGCAUGCGUAACAUUAGCUGGUUGGUAAGGUAACGGCUUACCAAGGCUAUGAUGUUUAGGGGUCCUGAGAGGGUGGUCCCCCACACUGGUACUGAGACACGGACCAGACUCCUACGGGAGGCAGCAGUGAGGAAUAUUGGCCAAUGGGCGCAAGCCUGAACCAGCCAUCCCGCGUGCAGGAAGACGGCCCUAUGGGUUGUAAACUGCUUUUCCAGGGAGAGAAACUUACGCACGUGUUGCGUGACUGACGGUACCCUGGGAAUAAGCAUCGGCUAACUCCGUG